rnacentral:rRNA from 1 species
CUACGGGGUGCACCAGUGAGGAAUAUUGCACAAUGGGGGGAACCCUGAUGCAGCAACGCCGCGUGGAGGAUGACGCAUUUCGGUGUGUAAACUCCUUUUAUAUGUCAAGAAAAUGACGGUAGCAUAUGAAUAAGCACCGGCUAACUCCGUGCCAGCAGCCGCGGUAAUACGGAGGGUGCAAGCGUUACUCGGAAUCACUGGGCGUAAAGGACGCGUAGGCGGGUUGGAAAGUCAGGUGUGAAAUCCUACAGCUUAACUGUAGAACUGCACUUGAAACUUCUAAUCUAGAGUAUGGGAGGGGGAGAUGGAAUGAGUGGUGUAGGGGUAAGAUCCGUAGAUAUCACUAGGAAUACCUAAAGCGAAGGCGAUCUCCUGGAACAUUACUGACGCUAAGGCGUGAAAGCGUGGGGAGCAAACAGGAUUAGAUACCCCUGUAGUC